rnacentral:rRNA from 1 species
UACGUAGGGCGCGAGCGUUGUCCGGAAUCAUUGGGCGUAAAGAGCUCGUAGGCGGCCUGUCGCGUCUGCUGUGAAAUCCCGGGGCUUAACCCCGGGCGUGCAGUGGAUACGGGCUGGCUGGAGGCAGGCAGGGGAGAACGGAAUUCCCGGUGUAGCGGUGAAAUGCGCAGAUAUCGGGAGGAACACCAGUGGCGAAGGCGGCUUUCUGGUCUGUAACUGACGCUGAGGCGCGAAAGCGUGGGGAGCAAACAGG